UGCGUAGGCGGAAAAUUAAGUCAGUAGUGAAAUCCCACAGCUUAACUGUGGAACUGUUAUUGAUACUGGUUUUCUUGAAUAUAGUUGAGGUAGGCGGAAUGUGUAAUGUAGCGGUGAAAUGCUUAGAUAUUACACAGAACACCGAUUGCGAAGGCAGCUUACUAAGCUAUGAUUGACGCUGAGGUACGAAAGCGUGGGGAGCGAACAGGAUUAGAUACCCUGGUAGUCC
rnacentral:rRNA from 1 species